rnacentral:snRNA from 1 species
GCUUCUCGGCCUUUUGGCUAAGAUCAAGUGUA